AAUCCCCUGCCUUGUUCGAGGAUAUCCUAAAUUCUUUGAGCCAAUACUUUUUUGAAAGGGAUCCUGCGUUAGAGGUGGUGUGAAAUCCUUUGCGGAAUUUCCUAAAGCUUUCUACAGGGAACCCACCUGUUAUGCAGGUUCAAAAAAACAUGAUAUUACGGCAAGGCGGGGCAUAA
rnacentral:other from 1 species